UCAUCAGGUGGGCCUCGGGCGGUGACU
rnacentral:sRNA from 1 species